rnacentral:tRNA from 1 species
GGCCUCGUGGCUCAGCUGGUAGAGCGUGCGCGUACAAAGCGUAGGCGGCGUUCAUGCGUGGGUGUGAAUCCCACCGAGGCCA